rnacentral:rRNA from 1 species
UGGGGAAUAUUGCACAAUGGGCGCAAGCCUGAUGCAGCCAUGCCGCGUGUAUGAAGAAGGCCUUCGGGUUGUAAAGUACUUUCAGCGAGGAGGAAGGCGGUAAGGUUAAUAACCUUAUCGAUUGACGUUACUCGCAGAAGAAGCACCGGCUAACUCCGUGCCAGCAGCCGCGGUAAUACGGAGGGUGCAAGCGUUAAUCGGAAUUACUGGGCGUAAAGCGCACGCAGGCGGUCCGUCAAGUCGGAUGUGAAAUCCCCGGGCUCAACCUGGGAACUGCAUUCGAAACUGGCAGGCUAGAGUCUUGUAGAGGGGGGUAGAAUUCCAGGUGUAGCGGUGAAAUGCGUAGAGAUCUGGAGGAAUACCGGUGGCGAAGGCGGCCCCCUGGACAAAGACUGACGCUCAGGUGCGAAAGCGUGGGGAGCAAACA